AUUGAACGCUGGCGGCAUGCUUUACACAUGCAAGUCGAGCGGUAACAGGCCUUCGGGUGCUGACGAGUGGCGAACGGGUGAGUAAUGCAUCGGAACGUACCCAGAGGUGGGGGAUAACGCAGCGAAAGCUGUGCUAAUACCGCAUGUGAUCUGAGGAUGAAAGCGGGGGACCGAGCAGCAAUGUUUGGCCUCGCGCCUUUGGAGCGGCCGAUGUCGGAUUAGCUAGUUGGUGGGGUAAAGGCCUACCAAGGCGACGAUCCGUAGCUGGUCUGAGAGGACGACCAGCCACACUGGGACUGAGACACGGCCCAGACUCCUACGGGAGGCAGCAGUGGGGAAUUUUGGACAAUGGGCGCAAGCCUGAUCCAGCAAUGCCGCGUGCGGGAAGAAGGCCUUCGGGUUGUAAACCGCUUUUGGCAGGAACGAAACGGUGUCCGCUAAUACCGGGCGCUAAUGACGGUACCUGCAGAAUAGGCACCGGCUAACUACGUG
rnacentral:rRNA from 1 species